rnacentral:rRNA from 1 species
AGAGUUUGAUCCUGGCUCAGAUUGAACGCUGGCGGCAGGCCUAACACAUGCAAGUCGAGCGGUAACAGAAAGAAAGCUUGCUUUCUUUGCUGACGAGCGGCGGACGGGUGAGUAAUGCCUGGGAAUAUGCCUUAGUGUGGGGGAUAACUAUUGGAAACGAUAGCUAAUACCGCAUAACGUCCUUGUUCAUUACGAGCGGGACCAAAGAGGGGGACCUUCGGGCCUCUCGCGCUAAGAUUAGCCCAGGUGGGAUUAGCUAGUUGGUGAGGUAAAGGCUCACCAAGGCAACGAUCCCUAGCUGGUCUGAGAGGAUGAUCAGCCACACUGGAACUGAGACACGGUCCAGACUCCUACGGGAGGCAGCAGUGGGGAAUAUUGCACAAUGGGGGAAACCCUGAUGCAGCCAUGCCGCGUGUAUGAAGAAGGCCUUCGGGUUGUAAAGUACUUUCAGUCGUGAGGAAGGGUAGUGUAGUUAAUAG